rnacentral:tRNA from 1 species
GACCGCGUAGCUCAGUUGGCAGAGCAUUGGGCUAGUAUUCCAAAGGUUGUAGGUUCAAUUCCCACCGUGGUCA